GCAGCUAGGACUACAGGCAUGCACCACCGUAACCAUGCCCAGAUCCAUUUUUCACCCUACCUGGCAAUCUCAAAAGAAGUCCAAAGUUGAUCAUAUGCACGUGCCCCAGAUGAAGGAAACAGAAACUGUUCACAUAGAGUGCAGUAUUAUCGUUGCCAUUUCAUAAUGGCUCUAAAAAACUUUGUUCUUCAUGACUUCGCAAGCUCUUGCAACCCCUUCCAAUAAACAUUAUUUUAAA